rnacentral:rRNA from 1 species
CAGGACGAACGCUGGCGGCAUGCCUAAUACGAUGCAAGUCGAGCGGAAUGAUGAGAGCUGCUCUCUGAUUUAGCGCGGACGGUGAGUAACACGUGGGCAACCUGCCCUACAGAUGGGGAUAACUCCGGAAACCGGGGCUAAUACCGAAUAAUCAGUUUGUCCGCAAUGGACAAACUCUGAAAGACGGUUUCGGCUGUCACUGUAGGAUGGGCCCGCGGCGCAUUAGCUAGUUGGUGGGGUAAUGGCCUACCAAGGCGACGAUGCGUAGCCGACCUGAGAGGUGAUCGGCACACUGGGACUGAGACACGGCCCAGACUCCUACGGGAGGCAGCAGUAGGGAAUCUUCCACAAUGGACGAAAGUCUGAUGGAGCAAUGCCGCGUGAAGCGAAGAAGGUUUUCGGAUCGUAAAGCUCUGUUGUAAGGGAAGAACAAGUACGGGAGUAACUGCCCGUGCCAUGACGGUACCUUAUUAGAAAGCCACGGCUAACUACGUGCCAGCAGCCGC